rnacentral:rRNA from 1 species
AAGCUCGUAGUUGAAUUUCGGGGUCAGUAGGUUGGUCGUGCCACCGGUACGUACUGGUCUCACUGAUUCCUCCUUCCUGAUGAGCUGUAAUGCCAUUAAUUUGGUGUUGCAGGGAAUCUGGACUGUUACUUUGAGAAAAUUAGAGUGUUUAAAGCAGGCUAACGCUUGAAUACAUUAGCAUGGAAUAAUGAAAUAGGACGUUCGAUCCUAUUUUGUUGGUUUCUAGGAUUGACGUAAUGAUUAAUAGGGAUAGUUGGG